rnacentral:rRNA from 1 species
UACGUAGGGUGCGAGCGUUGCCCGGAUUUAUUGGGCGUAAAGGGCGCGCAGGCGGCUACGCACGUCCGUUGUGAAAUCGCUCGGCUGCAAGCUGGGCGGGGUCGACGGAUACGGCGUAGCUGGAGCAAGCUAGGGGGCAAUGGAAUUCCCGGUGUAGUGGUGGAAUGCGUAGAUAUCGGGAGGAACACCAGUGGCGAAGGCGGUUGCCUGGAGCUUUGCUGACGCUGAGGCGCGAAAGCGUGGGGAGCGAUCCGG